rnacentral:rRNA from 1 species
UACGUAGGUGGCAAGCGUUGUCCGGAUUUAUUGGGUUUAAAGGGUGCGUAGGCGGCCCUGUAAGUCAGUGGUGAAAUACUCCAGCUUAACUGGAGGGGUGCCAUUGAUACUGCAGGGCUUGAGUGGAGUCGAAGUAGGCGGAAUUGACGGUGUAGCGGUGAAAUGCUUAGAUAUGACUUAGAACACCAAUUGCGAAGGCAGCUUGCUAAACAAAUAUUGACGCUGAGGCACGAAAGCGUGGGGAUCAAACAGG